UGAUAGUGAUAACUCAGAAGAUCAAAGUGAUCAACCUUGUGCAAAGAAAGUGAAACUACACUAUGGCAUACUACCAAGUCAUCAUUCCCAACAAUCAUCACAGGGAUCACAAAAUAUUAUUAUUGAAACUGGACGCCACCCUGAUAAGUUAAACACAAGGCAUACUAUCAAUGUUGUGUAAGACUUUAUUAAUCGAAUAGUACCAGACUAUUUUAAUUUUUAUCUUAGAUCUGGCCGCUGGAGUGGCCAUUUACAAAAACAACAACACUUCACAUGUUACUACACUCAACAUGGAUCUAGCAGUUCAAAAUGCUACAGAAGUUCAUGUUUCCCAAACAUCUAUUGGUGAUAUGUGUGCUUCACAUGUUAAACUAGAAGACGGAAGUGAAUUAAUUAUGAUUGUAGUAUACAUUUCACCUAAUAACAAAAUGGAUCAUAUAAUUUCAUUUUUACAUGAAAGCUGGAGAUUUUAAUGUAAAUUUUGCAAGAGCUGAAUCAAUGCCAUUA